CACGUAGGGUGCGAGCGUUGUCCGGAAUUAUUGGGCGUAAAGAGCUCGUAGGCGGUCAGUCGCGUCUGCUGUGAAAACUCGGGGCUUAACUCCGGGCCUGCAGUGGGUACGGGCUGACUAGAGUGCGGUAGGGGAGACUGGAAUUCCUGGUGUAGCGGUGAAAUGCGCAGAUAUCAGGAAGAACACCCGUGGCGAAGGCGGCUCUCUGGGACGGUACUGACGCUGAGACGCGAAAGCGUGGGGAGCGAACAGG
rnacentral:rRNA from 1 species